rnacentral:lncRNA from 1 species
CUCCCCCCAGCCGCCUCCUCCCUCCAAGUAACGCCCACCCUCCGGUCUGCCUGGCUCCCCAGCUCACCUGGAGCCGCGGGCGCGCCCCGGGGCGGCCCAGGAGCACGGCCCGGCGUUCAGUCCUGCUGUCACUCGUUCCUCGAUUUCUCGAGAGCUGUUUUCCGCCUGGGGUCCCCGCGCCUCCGAGGGGGCCGCGCGAAUUGGCAGCCCAAGCCCUGGGCAGAGUUUCUGGGCACCGGGCGCCCUGCGGCUAGGGAAGGGAAACUUUCACCGGGCCCGGAGCCCUGCUCUGUGCUCUGCCGAGUUCACUGCGCCCGGCUCCAGCGGCGUCUCCGCCGCCCUCUCGGGACUGUAGCUUCCUUCCUCGCUCUGGGGAGUGAAGCUGGCCGAGGGAGAUUGGGGGGGGGGGGGGCCGCUUAUNGGGGGGGGGGGGGGGGCCGCUUAUACUGGACCCGGUUCCCGGCAAAGCAGCUCCGCCUCUCUUGCUCUCAGUCUCCGCGCCCCGAAUCCUCCCAUCUCUUUGGCGGUGGUAGAUGGGGCGCAGCGCGACCCUGCAGCCGCGGCGGCAGGAGCCGCUUCUUCCAUCACCAGAAGGAUGCCCUCCGGGAGGGCACUGCCGGCAGCCCCCGCCGCUUCUCAGCCUCCGACUGGCCCGGAAACCCCUUACAUACACACAGCUCUAGGCAAAGGAGCUGGGGUCUGCAGCGCUCUCUUGCCCGUCCCGCCCCCGGCACCAGGCUCUUCUGGCCAACGAGGAAUCCAGGCAGAGAAAACCCCCGCCGCCGCAGCCGCCGCCGAGCGAAAGCGGCGCCCAGGAGGAUGCAGCUACGCGCCUCUCCUUACGCCGAGCGGCUGCAACGCGCUCGGGCCAGCCUCUGCGCGGCUCCUGCCAGCCCGCGCCGGGUUGGUGCGCGCCGCCGUCUGUCGCUGCGGCUCCUCCCCUUCGCCGCGCCGCCCGCCCCCUCGCAGCGCCCAGCUCCCGCCGCCGCCUUGAGGGUUGAAGAUGCGGGGCCCGGUUUACAGCGGCGUCGCUUGGGCCUCCAUCCGCUCAGCUGA